rnacentral:rRNA from 1 species
UGGGGAAUAUUGCACAAUGGGCGAAAGCCUGAUGCAGCGACGCCGCGUGGGGGAUGACGGCCUUCGGGUUGUAAACCUCUUUCAGCAGGGACGAAGCGCAAGUGACGGUACCUGCAGAAGAAGCACCGGCUAACUACGUGCCAGCAGCCGCGGUAAUACGUAGGGUGCAAGCGUUGUCCGGAAUUACUGGGCGUAAAGAGUUCGUAGGCGGUUUGUCGCGUCGUUUGUGAAAACCAGCAGCUCAACUGCUGGCUUGCAGGCGAUACGGGCAGACUUGAGUACAGCAGGGGAGACUGGAAUUCCUGGUGUAGCGGUGAAAUGCGCAGAUAUCAGGAGGAACACCGGUGGCGAAGGCGGGUCUCUGGGCAGUAACUGACGCUGAGGAACGAAAGCGUGGGUAGCGAACAGG